UACAGAGGUCUCAAGCGUUGUUCGGAUUCAUUGGGCGUAAAGGGUGCGUAGGCGGCGCCGUAAGUCAGGUGUGAAAUUUCGGAGCUUAACUCCGAAACUGCAUUUGAUACUGCGGUGCUUGAGGACUGGAGAGGAGACUGGAAUUUACGGUGUAGCAGUGAAAAUGCGUAGAUAUCGUAAGGAAGACCAGUGGCGAAGGCGGGUCUCUGGACAGUUCCUGACACUGAGACACGAAAGGCCAGGGGGAGCAAAACGGGG
rnacentral:rRNA from 1 species